rnacentral:rRNA from 1 species
UGCAGUCGAGCGGAGGACAGGGAGCUUGCUCCUUGAUUCAGCGGCGGACGGGUGAGUAAUGCCUAGGAAUCUGCCUGUUAGUGGGGGACAACGUCUCGAAAGGAACGCUAAUACCGCAUACGUCCUACGGGAGAAAGCAGGGGAUCUUCGGACCUUGCGCUAUUAGAUGAGCCUAAGUCGGAUUAGCUAGUUGGUGAGGUAAUGGCUUACCUAGGCGACGAUCCGUAACUGGUCUGAGAGGAUGAUCCGCCACACUGGAACUGAGACACGGCCCAGACUCCUACGGGAGGCAGCAGUGGGGAAUAUUGGACAAUGGGGGAAACCCUGAUCCAGCCAUGCCGCGUGUGUGAAGAAGGCCUUCUGAUUGUAAAGCACUUUAAGUUGGGAGGAAGGUACUUUAGUUAAUACCUUGAUAUUUUGAACUUUCCUACCAAAUUAACCCCCGGUUACUUUGGGGCCACCACCCGGGGAAUUCCGAAGGGGGCAACGGUUAUCCGAAUUACUGGGCGGAAAGCGCGGCGAAGGGGGUCUAUUAGUUGGAAGGGAAAGUCCCGGACUCUACCUGGGAACUGGCUCUCAAUAUGGCGGACUAAAAUAAGGUGAGAGGAGGUGAAAAUUCCUGUGGAGCGGUGGAAUGGCUAGAUAUAUCGAGAGAACUACAGAUGCCAAAGCCAGCACCUCGGACUGAUAAUGGGACCUUAAGUGUACGAAAGCCAUGGGGAAACCAAAC